GGUUCGAUGGCGUAGCUUGGUUAUCGCAUCUGUCUAACAUUCAGCUUACACAGAAGGUCCCCGGUUCGAGCCCGGGUCGAAUCA